rnacentral:lncRNA from 1 species
ACCCGCCAGCCCCGCGCUCUACCAGGCAGAGCGCGUGUGGCCGCCGAGCACAUGGACCCACUGGUCAAGCGGGCUCGGCAAGGCCAGGAUGAAGAGAAGCUACGAACUUAGCAUUCCCAGAGCCCCCCGAGUGGAUAUCCGCGUGGAAAGGAUGUUGGCAGCCCCGGUGACCUCGGAGUCACGGCUGGAUCCACCCUCUUGUCUGAUUUUCUUAACUCUACUACGGUAAGAAGAUGCCCUCCAUCAGCAGGCCGUGUCUGCUGGGACCUCUCUGGAGACUUCCUGAACCCUGUGGAUUUACAGUAAGAUGCAGUUUCCUGGGGAGUAAUUCUGGUGGAUACAAAUUCCGGAGUAUUACACCUGGCUUGCCUGGAGAUGUUACAAGUAGCUGGAUGGAUUCUUCAGCCUGGAUGCCCACUGAAAACAAGGACCGAAACUAAGAGGAUUGUAUCUCUACCCUUGACUCAAUGAGAAUGUUUGUUGUCAUCUCUCGGGCUACCUGGAGCUCCCUCUAAAAUGGGCUGGGACACUGCCUGAUUGAGGUGGCCAUUGAGAAUUCAAGUGUACCUCUUGGUCCCUGAUGCAGAAAUGAAGUCCCCAGCAUGCUCAAGAAGAGCUUCCUUGGAGGAUGAGAGGCAUGGGAAUCUAAGUAUACCCUUUAAGCGUUCCAGAAGGAUUUUGAGAUCCUUUCCUAAAUCAAAGGUGGAAUAUUUGGGGAUUUGGAAAAUUGAGCAUUUUUUUCCCCACUUGCUUGACUGUAAUGCUAACAUGCUCUCUCUGCUCCAACCUGGAGAAGCCAGUCUCUCAGAAGAACCAGUUGUGUUACUUUGCUGUGAGAUGCCUGCCCUAAGAGAGGAGCAGAAGGUCGGAACGGGUCCUCUAAUGUGAUAAUUAGAUGUGAAGCGUUGACUUAAGAGAUGCCAAGUAACUCAGCAGAUGUCACACAGACGAUAAAUAGCAAAGAUGGAAGUCUUCAUGCCGGAGGCAAUCCUAUAAGACAGCUGAGUUCUGCAGAGCUGGAGACAGACUUGCUCAGGUGAUAGAUCCAGCCAUGAUACUGACCCUAAGAGAAUGAGACGCUCUGCAGAAGACAGAAGAUUCCUGAAACUGGGAAAGGUGCCUAGAAAUCCUGAUAAGAGUGAAGAAGGGUACCUGGAGGCACAGCAGCCAUGUUGAACCUAUGAGGUGAUGAAAAACCAUGCAACUAGAAACCAGAAUGGAAGAAAAGAAGAAGCUGGAUCCUUGACUGAAUUGUCGAUGGGGGAUAGUCCAUCAUCCCAGGGCUAAGACCACCUCCAGAUUUCUUGUUUGGUGAAACAAGUCCUGAUUGUUUACAUUCCCUCGUGUUGAGCUGUCUCUUGCUUGUAGCUGAAAGCAUUUCUAAUAGAUAUUCAGAUUAUCAGCCUUAGCUCCAAGCUAGAAUACUCUAUGGGACCUUAGCUUCUCCAUGAAUUCCUUUGCUCAUCUGUGUAAUGCUCAAUAAAUGUAAAUUGAACCCUGAAUGAGGGACAAUGACAC